GUCCACCAAAAAUGGAAUAAUGAAGCUGAUCUCUGUGUUAUCUAUUUAUUGACAGUGAAUCUUACGUAACAUGUGGAUAUGAGUAUCUGAACCACUGAUACUCAAAAUGAUCUCCUACAGAUAACACCAGUUAAUAUUUAAUUGAGUCUCACAACCAAAGAGACCUAUAAUUUUGACUUAUUAAAAUAUUUUGGAUACAUUUUUGAAAAAAUGUUUUCAUUUACACAUUAGUAGUUAUCACUUUAAGAAACCAUAACUCACUGGCGUAACCCAAUAGCCUAGAGUAGAACAGAUACCGUGUUCAAAGUCCC
rnacentral:lncRNA from 1 species